rnacentral:rRNA from 1 species
AAAUCACAAUGCGGGACUAUCAGUCUUGCAAUUGGAUUGAGAACAAUGUACAACUCUUAUCGAUAAGCCAUUGGAGGGCAAGUCUGGUGCCAGCAGCCGCGGUAAUUCCAGCUCCAAUAGCGUAUAUUAACGUUGUUGCAGUUAAAAAGCUCGUAGUUGAAGUGUGGGUGAUCGCUGUUGUGAGACUUCGGUCUCUCGACAGUAAGUCACCCCCUUCCAGUAUCCAGUAGUGGGUAUUCAGUUACUUACUAUUGUGUGUUGGUCCUUUACUGUGAGAAAAUUAGAGUGUUCAAAGCAGGCGUUUGCUUGAAUAGAUUAGCAUGGAAUAAUAAUUGAAGGCUUUCGUGUUCGAUUUGAUUGGUUUGUUCAUGGAAGCAAGGUUAAAAGGAACAGUUGGGGGUAUUCAUAUUCACUAGUUAGAGGUGAAAUUCUCGGAUUUAUGGAAGAUGAACAA